UGGAGGCACUAUGGUAACCUCAACUGAAGUAGCAAACGAUGCCUCGUUUCCUCAAAAUUCCUGCUAACCACCCCUCUUUGCCUCUGAACAUAAUGGAUCAGUUUUCAGCACACUCUAGGGAAGUGGUACAAGGUUCUGACACAGGAGAAAAGAUCUUAGAGUCUCUGUGAUCGAGGAAGUCUCUCCCUUCAAUUUUAAUAUUUGAUUUUCAUUGCAGUGACAUUAUGUGCAAUGAAAACAUCCAACUUCCACCUUGCAGGUGUUCAAGAAUAUUUAGCAUUGAAACUUGACAAAUAGUUGGUGACUAAGCCAACUUUGUGGGCUUUUUGUCAUUAAGAUGCAGUUACAACGACAAAAGAAAGCUAAUCAACUAAAACUACAUACUUCCAAGAAACAACUAAGCCACAUCUAUAGACCAGACCCACCUUCUUCUGAGGCAGUCAUGACACUGACCUUGCAGGAAACUUCAGGUAGUGUUUUAUUUGCUCGUUUGGUUGUGGUUUAUGAUUUUUAUAGAAAUGGAAUCACGUUAAUCUUUGGCUCUUUUUUUACCUAGCAGCUCAUGCCAUCUUUCCCAAAUCCAUACAAUUUAUUUUUAAUAUUCUGACGAAAAGGACUGCUUGAUACGGUUACAGCUGAGCAUUUCUCCAGCAAGAUAUAUCAAGAUAUGAAAUUGAGAUCAAGGAUUAAGCUCAUUUUUUGCCACAGUAAUAAAAUCCAUAACCUGAAUAAGAAUCCAGGGUAAAAAAAAACAUUUAAACUUUGGUAGAGGCACUGUUGUGGCAAGAGUGUAGGAAAACAGACAACUUUAAGUUGUGAGAACCUAACUGGGUACAACGUCUUUUUUUUGGAACAGAGUGAUUUGGCAAUAUCUAUUACAAUUGAAAAUGCACAUACAGUUGAAUUCAAGAAGAUGCAAGUAUUUUCUGCUAGGAACGUAACCUACAUAUAUAUUUUACACGAAAGAGUGUCUUAGCAAUAUAGACAAUGAAUGUCUGCACUGUCAGUGCACAGCCUGCUUGGGAUUCUCUCUCUCCCUCUCUCUCUGCCCCUCCCCACCCAUCCCCCUCCCCACAAAAGAGCAAGCAGGUCUAUAAGAACAGGUAUGAGAUGAUCUUUAAGAUGUGUUGUAUACUGUUGUAUAGUAUAUUUACUAUGCUACCAUUUGCAAGGGGAAAGUGGUAUAUGCCUGUCACUGAAUGUAUGUGCUUAAAAUAUCACUGAAAGGCUGCACAAUCAACUGGGAUAGAGAAGUGGCUGGGUGUUCCAGUUAUCUAUGUAUAACAAACAGUGAUCUAUAUAACAAGCCACCCCCAAACAUUGUGGCUUGAAGCACAAUUCCGUAGGCUGACUGAGUUUUGCUGGGCAGUCUGCUAGGAAUGCAGCCAUCUGUCAGCCCAA